rnacentral:lncRNA from 1 species
UUUUUUGAGACAAAUUUGAAGUGGAUUAUAUUUUUUUAUAUUUUUUUAUUUCUACUUACCGCCUCACUCGGGGAGGAUCGGGGCAGGAGCUCCAUCAACAUGGAGCCAUUUGCAUCCCUACUCUCCCUCGAUCCCACUAGGAUUGAGGAAAGUGGGAAAUAAUUGUAAAUGCAAUUGGAUAUAAUUAUAAAUGUGAUAUAAUUUGUGUGGUAGAAAUUAUAAACUGUAUGCAGGUGAAAAUGUAAAGAAUUAUAAACAAAUACAUAUCUUUUUUGGUUGGAAGUUUGUAACUAUAAAUAUUUUAUUUGGUUAUAUGCAGUUGGUUAUUAUAUUUAUAAAUUCAAUAACUUUAUAUAUGGAAAGUUGAGAUUAAUUCUUGNGUUUACUUUUUAUUUAAAGCAACUCUAUGCAACUACCGUGGUUGGAGUUGUGUGCAAAUUUUAAGAAACAGUAGUUUAGUUAUAAUUGGGUAAUCCAAGGAGCCUAAAUUUGAGUAGCUUAUAUUACCAGAUUCUUCGAUGUUGUUGUCGGAUCGUUGGCACGAACCAUUAAUCCCAAAAAUUCGAGCCGUUAGAAAUACGCAACCAAUUUACUUAGGGGCCGUUUGGAUACAUGUAGUUGCAACUGCAUUGCAAUUAAUUGUAACUGCAUGUAAACACAAAUUCUGUAUUUGGUUUGAUGUUAUUUAACUCCAAUUGCUACAGUAAGAAUUGCUGAAGGAGGCCCAACUGCAGCAGUUCGAACUACGCCCAAAUUGGCCGCAGUUCCAACUACAGUAGUUGGAGAAAGUAAUUUUAAAUAAAAGGUAUACUUACCUCCUUAAUAUUUUUUAAACAAAAAUUAUUUUUCUUUUUUACAUUAGAGGUGAUCUCAUCAUCAUAUAUAUAAAAUAAUAAAAUUUUAAAAAUUAUUUCUCAACUGCAUGCAACUAAAUAAAUUAUUUAUACUUGCAGCGUUUUCUGCUACAUCGAACCAAACAAGAUUCAUGUAGUUGUAACUGCUAUAUUUCCAACUGCAUGCAUCUCUGUUUAGCUAAUAAGGCGCGGACAUGU